AUUGAACGCUGGCGGCAGGCUUAACACAUGCAAGUCGAGCGAGCGGCGGACGGGUGAGUAAUGUCUGGGAAACUGCCUGAUGGAGGGGGAUAACUACUGGAAACGGUAGCUAAUACCGCAUACCAUCAGAUGUGCCCAGAUGGGAUUAGCUAGUAGGUGGGGUAAAGGCUCACCUAGGCGACGAUCCCUAGCUGGUCGGAGCGGAUGACCAGCCACACUGGAACUGAGACACGGGCCAGACUCCUACGGGAGGCAGCAGUGGGGAAUAGUGCACAAUGGGCGCAAGCCUGAUGCAGCCAUGCCGCGGGUGUGAAGAAGGCCUUCGGGUUGUAAAGCACUUUCAGCGAGGAGGCGUUACCCGCAGAAGAAGCACCGGCGAACUCCGUGCCAGCAGCCGCGGUAAUAC
rnacentral:rRNA from 1 species